rnacentral:lncRNA from 1 species
UCGAUCUUUGAGAGUACUUCCUUAGACGCAAAGGAAUGAGUAGCAUAAGCUUCUUAGCUUCUUUUCUUAAAUAUGAGGAUGAUACAUUGGAAAUUACAGAAAACACAAUGCAUACAAAAGCCACGUAAUACAAACUCAUUAAUUUGUUUAAAUAGCUGUAGCUUAACAACUUUAACGACUAGAACAACAUCUUGGUACUGCCGUUGUUGUGUAACUAAGAGAUUUAUCAGCGGCCAUUGCCGCCACCACCACUGCCAGAUCCACUUCCUACACCCACACCUUUUCCAGCUCCAGUACCAACACCAACUCCUAUGCCAAUCCCAACUCCAGCUCCAAAUCCUCCGCCAUGUCCGCCUCCUAAUCCUCCACCAUGUCCGCCACCUAAUCCUCCAC